ensembl:snRNA U1 U1 spliceosomal RNA
AUACUUACCUGGCAGGGGAGAUACCAUGAUCACGAAUGUGGUUUUCCCAGGGCGAGGCUUAUCCAUUGCACUCCGGAUGUGCUGACCCCUGCGAUUUCCCCAAAUGUGGGAAACUCGACUGCAUAAUUUGUGGUAGUGGGGGACUGCGUUCGCGCUUUCCCCUG